rnacentral:rRNA from 1 species
CUCAGACACAGGUGCUGCAUGGCUGUCGUCAGCUCGUGUCGUGAGAUGUUGGUUAAGUCCGCUAACGAGCGCAACCCUCGCUGUGUGUUACAAGUGUCACACGGAACUGCCGGUCAUAAACCGGAGGAAGGUGGGGAUGACGUCAAGUCAGCAUGGCCUUUAUAUCCUGGGCUACACACACGCUACAAUGGGAAGGGACAAUAGGUUGCGAAGCCGCGAGGUGGAGCCAAUCCAGCAAAACUUCCCUCAGUUCAGAUUGCAGGCUGCAACUCGCCUGCAUGAAGUUGGAGUUGCUAGUAAACGCAGGUCAGCCAUACUGCGUUGAAUACGUUCCCGGGGCUU